UGCCCCAUAAAUAAAUUCCUAAAGCUUUAAUCUCACGGUUUCCUUGUUUUAGCUAUAAUUCCAUCUCCUGAUGCUGCGUUAAGAUUGUAUCAACGUAGAUCAUGAGUUAGCCGCAAUAACCUCUCAUAUGUUAAUUUAUUAACUUGACUAGUGUGCAUGUAGCUGGUUUUUUUUUAUUUUAAAAAGCGACACAAGUGUUACACUCUAGUAUUUUUUAUAAUGCGAUUAAUUAAUUACCUUUCUAUAUAAAAUCUUAGAAAAUUCAUAUCUCCUCCGUUUUAGCUUCGAUUUUCGUGAUCUUUACGUCCGCGAGAUCGUAGCGCUGCGUAGAAUCUUUUUAUGAACUCUCUAUACUGUUUUUAUAUGAUUGGUGUACUGUUCUAAUUGUAGCCUUGUUUGCUUCGUGUAUGUUUGUUGCCGUAUGUUUGUGAUCGAUGAUCGGAAUUAGUCGGUGAGCAAUUCGUGGUGAUCAAGAGUGCUUCAGUGAUCAAGAUCAGCAGGAGCAUUUGGAUUAAGGCAAGUAUAGCAUUUGGAUUUUAUUUCUGUGACCAUG
rnacentral:lncRNA from 1 species